rnacentral:rRNA from 1 species
CCUGCCAGUAGUCCACGCUUGUCUAAAAGAUUAAGCCAUGCAAGUCUAAGUAUAAGCAAUAAUACAGCGAAACUGCGAACGGCUCAUUAUAUCAGUUGGAAUCUACUCGAUCAUCUUUCUACAUGGAUAACUGUGGAAAAUCUAGAGCUAAUACAUGCAUUACAAGGCCGCAAGGUCUGCAUUUAUUAGAUAAAAGCCUUCGCCUUCGGGCCACGGUGAAUCAUAAUAACUCAACGAAUCGCAUAGCCUUGCGCUGGCGAUAUUUCGAUCGACCAUCUGCCCUAUCAACUUUCGAUGGUAGGGUAUUGGCCUACCAUUGUUAUGACGGGUAACGGGGAAUAAGGGUUCGAUUCCGGAGAGAGAGCCUUAGAAACGGCUCUCAGGUUUAAGGACUGCAGCAGGCGCGCAAAUUACCCAAUCCUGACUCAGGGAGGUAGUGACAAGAAAUAACAAUGCAGAGCAAUUAUUUGUUUUGCAAUUGGAAUGAGAACAAGUUAAAUCGAAUAUCGAGUAGCAACUAGAGGGCAAGUCUGGUGCCAGCAGCCGCGGUAAUUCCAGCUCUAGUAGCGUGCAUUAAAAUUGCUGAUGUUAAAACGCUCGUAGUCGCACUACAGCGCCGGCAGGCCGGUCCUAGCUCUGCUAGCGUACUGGUCCCUGUUGGCGCUUUCCUCCUGGUUGCGGGCUGUGUCGUUCACUCGGCGCAUCUCGCGGACCAGGGACAUGACCUUGAAAAAAUCAAAGUGCUCAAAGCAAGCAAACGCUUGAAUACAUUAGCAUGGAAUCAAUGAAUAAGACGCGCGUCUUGUCUUUGUUGGCUUAAUAAGACGCCGUAAUGAUGAAUAGGAACAGCGGGGGUUAUCCGUAUCGCUUGGUAAGGGGUGAAAUCCUUGGAUUCAAGCGCGACGAACUACUGCGAAAGCAUUUAACAACAAUGUUUUCAUUGAUCAAGAACGAAGGUUUGGGGAUCGAAAACGAUUAGAUACCGUUGUAGUCCAAACAGUAAACGAUGCCAUCCGACAGCGCGUCAAGAAUCAUUAAUGACUUGAUGCGAGGUCAACGAGAAAUCGUUAAGAUAGGUUCAUGGGGGAAUAUGGUCGCAAGGCUGAAACUUAAAGGAAUUGACGGAAGGGCACCACCAGGAGUGGAGCCUGC